GACGAACGCUGGCGGCGUGCUUAACACAUGCAAGUCGAACGGGAUUUAGUAAACAGAAACCUCGGUGGAAGAUUACUAAUGAGAGUGGCGAACGGGUGAGUAACGCGUGAGCAACCUGCCUAUGACAGUGGGAUAGCCUCGGGAAACCGGGAUUAAUACCGCAUAAAAUCGUAGAAACACAUGUUUUAACGGUCAAAGAUUUAUCGGUCAUAGAUGGGCUCGCGUCUGAUUAGCUAGUUGGUGAGAUAACAGCCCACCAAGGCGACGAUCAGUAGCCGGUCUGAGAGGAUGAACGGCAACAUUGGAACUGAGACACGGUCCAAACUCCUACGGGAGGCAGCAGUGGGGAAUAUUGCACAAUGGGGGAAACCCUGAUGCAGCGACGCCGCGUGAACGAAGAAGGUAUUCGUAUCGUAAAGUUCUGUCCUAUGGGAAGAUAAUGACAGUACCAGAGAAGAAAGCGCCGGCUAAAUACGUG
rnacentral:rRNA from 1 species